GGCAGUUGAAAGUGUGUGAACUGUGCACCAGACAGACUCCUCAUAGAAGCAGUGAAGAGAGAUGGACCAGUGCCAAGAGUGCCUACUAGAAAUAUAUCCUCAUCUGAAGGUUUUCUAGAAUGGAUUACCUGCAGGAUCCCAAACCAUCAGCUCCAUCCAGAAAGCAGACUAUGCUGCUUGCAUCUACCCCAACAUAAACUGAAGUACAGGAGAAAGAGG
rnacentral:lncRNA from 1 species